UGGGGAAUAUUGGACAAUGGGCGAAAGCCUGAUCCAGCCAUGCCGCGUGUGUGAAGAAGGUCUUCGGAUUGUAAAGCACUUUAAGUUGGGAGGAAGGGCAGUAAGCGAAUACCUUGCUGUUUUGACGUUACCGACAGAAUAAGCACCGGCUAACUCUGUGCCAGCAGCCUCGGUAAUACAGAGGGUGCAAGCGUUAAUCGGAAUUACUGGGCGUAAAGCGCGCGUAGGUGGGUCGUUAAGUUGAAUGUGAAAGCCCCGGGCUCAGCCUGGAAACUGCAUCCGAAACUGGACAGCUAGAGUAGGGCAGAGGGUGGUGGAAUUUCCUGUGUAGCGGUGAAAUGCGUAGAUAUAGGAAGGAACACCAGUGGCGAAGGCGACCACCUGGGCUCAUACUGACACUGAGGUGCGAAAGCGUGGGCAGCAAACAGG
rnacentral:rRNA from 1 species